rnacentral:rRNA from 1 species
UGAAACUGGGGGUCUUGAGGGCAGGAGAGGAAAGCAGAAUUCCUGGUGUAGCGGUGAAAUGCGUAGAAAUCAGGAGGAAUACCAGUGGCGAAGGCGGCUGCCUGGACUGACCCUGACGCUG